CAGUCGCCGCGGUAAUACGAAGGGGGCUAGCGUUGUUCGGAAUUACUGGGCGUAAAGCGCACGUAGGCGGAUAUUUAAGUCAGGGGUGAAAUCCCGCAGCUCAACUGCGGAACUGCCUUUGAUACUGGGUAUCUUGAGUAUGGAAGAGGUAAGUGGAAUUCCGAGUGUAGAGGUGAAAUUCGUAGAUAUUCGGAGGAACACCAGUGGCGAAGGCGGCUUACUGGUCCAUUACUGACGCUGAGGUGCGAAAGCAUGGGGAGCAAACAGGAUUAGAUACCCCGGUAGUCCCUGUCUCUUAUAC
rnacentral:rRNA from 1 species